GCACCUACCGAUUGAAUGGUUCGGUGAAAAUCUCGGACUGCGGCUUGGAUGCCUUCGGGCAACCAAGCUGUGGAAAGUUGUUUAAACCUCACCAUUUAGAGGAAGGUGAAGUCGUAACAAGGUUUCCGUAGGUGAACCUGCAGAAGGAUCAAGAUCGGUAGAGCACACGCCCGAAUUCCAGUCACGCGGCUUUACUUCGCAUGUCUUCUUUUGUCUGCUAAAAAAAAAACCAUCCAUACAGCAACAAUCACAAUACACGCUCCUAACUCUUACCAGU
rnacentral:misc_RNA from 1 species